GCAUAUCAAUAAGCGGAGGAAAAGAAACUAACAAGGAUUCCCCUAGUAACGGCGAGUGAAGCGGGAUGAGCUCAAAUUUGAAAGCUGGCAGUAAUGUCCGCGUUGUAAUCUCGAGAGUUGUUUUCCGUGCUGGACCGAGUACAAGUUCCUUGGAAUAGGAUGUCAUAGAGGGUGAAAAUCCCGUACUUGACUUGGACGCCCAGUGCUUUGUGAUACAUCUUCGAAGAGUCGAGUUGUUUGGGAAUGCAGCUCAAAAUGGGUGGUAAAUUCCAUCUAAAGCUAAAUAUUGGGGAGAGACCGAUAGCGAACAAGUACCGUGAGGGAAAGAUGAAAAGCACUUUGGAAAGAGAGUUAAACAGUACGUGAAAUUGUCAAAAGGGAAGCAUUUGAAGUCAGACGUGUAUUUCAGUAUUCAGCCUUGCUUUUGCUUGGUGUUUUGCUGUUGUACAGGCCAACAUCAGUUUUGAGUGACGGAUAAGGGUAGGAGGAAUGUGGCACCCUCGGGUGUGUUAUAGCCUCUUACUGGAUACGUCGUUUGGGACUGAGGAAAGCAGCGCGCCGUAAGGCAGACCUUCGGGUACUUUCGCGCUUAGGAUGUUGGCGUAAUGGCUUUAAGUGACCCGUCUUGAAACACGGACCAAGGAGUCUAACAUGUCUGCGAGUCUUUGGGUGGCAAACCCGUGGGCGCAAUGAAAGUGAAUGCAGGUGGGAUCCGCAAGGAGCACCAUCGACCGAUCCAGAUCUUCUGUGACGGAUUUGAGUAAGAGCAUAUAUGUUGGGACCCGAAAGAUGGUGAACUAUGCCUGAAUAGGGUGAAGCCAGAGGAAACUCUGGUGGAGGCUCGUAGCGGUUCUGACGUGCAAAUCGAUCGUCAAAUUUGGGUAUAGGGGGCGAAAGACUAAUCGAACCAUCUAGUAGCUGGUUCCUGC
rnacentral:rRNA from 1 species